AAUGAACGCUGGCGGUAGGCCUAACACAUGCAAGUCGAACGGCAGCACAGUAAGAGCUUGCUCUUACGGGUGGCGAGUGGCGGACGGGUGAGGAAUACAUCGGAAUCUACUUUUUCGUGGGGGAUAACGUAGGGAAACUUACGCUAAUACCGCAUACGACCUACGGGUGAAAGCAGGGGAUCUUCGGACCUUGCGCGAUUGAAUGAGCCGAUGUCGGAUUAGCUAGUUGGCGGGGUAAAGGCCCACCAAGGCGACGAUCCGUAGCUGGUCUGAGAGGAUGAUCAGCCACACUGGAACUGAGACACGGUCCAGACUCCUACGGGAGGCAGCAGUGGGGAAUAUUGGACAAUGGGCGCAAGCCUGAUCCAGCCAUACCGCGUGGGUGAAGAAGGCCUUCGGGUUGUAAAGCCCUUUUGUUGGGAAAGAAAAGCAGCAGGUUAAUACCCCGCUGUUCUGACGGUACCCAAAGAAUAAGCACCGGCUGACUUCGUG
rnacentral:rRNA from 1 species